rnacentral:hammerhead_ribozyme from 1 species
AUCCAGUUGACGAGUCCCAAACAGGACUAAACAUGUGUUCUGGAU